UACAGUAGAUUUCUACUGAUCGGGGGGGUGGAAAGUCCCAGUUUGAUUACUGGAUCGCGAGUAAGCCCCCUGUCUGCACCCUUGUCUUUUGCGUACUUAUGUUUCCUCGGCGGGCUUGCCUGCCGAAUGGACAAUUCUAAAACCUUUUUAAUUUUCAAUCAGCGUCUGAACAAUUAUAAUAAUUACAACUUUCAACAACGGAUCUCUUGGUUCU
rnacentral:misc_RNA from 1 species